UACGUAGGGUGCAAGCGUUUAAUCGGAAUCACUGGGCGUAAAGGGUGCGUAGGCGGGUCUUUUAAGUCAGGGGUGAAAUCCUGGAGCUCAACUCUAGAACUGCCUUUGAUACUGAAGAUCUUGAGUUCGGGAGAGGUGAGUGGAACUGCGAGUGUAGAGGUGAAAUUCGUAGAUAUUGGGAGGAACACCAGUGGCGAAGGCAGCUCUCUGGGUCCCUGACCGACGCUGGGGGUGCGGAAAGCAUGGGG
rnacentral:rRNA from 1 species